UUUAAGGUCUAACCUGCCCAAUGAGGAUUUAAAUGGCCGCAGUAUUUUGACUGUGCAAAGGUAGCAUAAUUAUUAGUUUUUUAAUUGAAAGCUUGUAUGAAGGGUUGGACGAGAUAAAAUCUGUCUUUAUUUAAAUUAAAUUAUAAUUUAACUUUUAAGUAAGAAGGCUUAAAUAUUUAUAAAAGACGAGAAGACCCUAUAGAUCUUUAUUUGAUUAAAAUUUUAAUAAUUUAGGAUUAUUUUAAUUUAAAGUUUUAAUUAAAUUUUAUUGGGGUAAUAUAAAGAUUAAAUAAAUUCUUUUUAUUUAUAACAUUGAUUUAUGAAUAUAUGAUCCAUUAAUAUUGAUUAUAAGAUUAAGUUACCUUAGGGAUAACAGCGUAAUUUUUUUGGAGAGCUCAUAUCGAUAAAAAAGUUUGCGACCUCGAUGUUGGAUUAAAAAUUAGCUUGGGUGCAGAAGCUCAAGAUUUUGGUCUGUUCGACCAUUAAAUUUUUACAUGAUCUGAGUUCAGACCGGCGUGAGCCAGGUCGGUUUCUAUCUUUAUUAAGAUAAAAUGUUUUAGUACGAAAGGACCAGACAUUUAAUAUAAUUAUAUUUAUUUUUU
rnacentral:rRNA from 1 species